CAGAAAAUACUGCUCAGAAAUACCACUAACUUGGGAGGGGAAUGGCGCAAUGAAAGCUUAUCCCUUUCACUUUCCUUCUUUAAGAAAAGCCACAAGACCACUUAAUUUAUAACCUUUCCGCCGUUGCUCUGGUUCUUGUGGGUAUGUAUCCUCUUAAAAUAUUGUAUGUUGAUGUUAUUUAGAUUGGAGAAACAAACACGAUGUUAUAAAAUAACUACAAACUAUCUGGGGAUUUAUUCAUUAAUAAAAUAACUGAAUUUAAAAAAAAAUCCUUCUUGCCUAUUUUACC